rnacentral:rRNA from 1 species
CUUCGGGUUGUAAACCUCUUUUAGCAGGGAAGAAGCGUGAGUGACGGUACCUGCAGAAAAAGCGCCGGCUAACUACGUGCCAGCAGCCGCGGUAAUACGUAGGGCGCAAGCGUUAUCCGGAAUUAUUGGGCGUAAAGAGCUCGUAGGCGGUUUGUCGCGUCUGCUGUGAAAUCCCGAGGCUCAACCUCGGGCCUGCAGUGGGUACGGGCAGACUAGAGUGCGGUAGGGGAGAUUGGAAUUCCUGGUGUAGCGGUGGAAUGCGCAGAUAUCAGGAGGAACACCGAUGGCGAAGGCAGAUCUCUGGGCCGUAACUGACGCUGAGGAGCGAAAGGGUGGGGAGCAAACAGGCUUAGAUACCCUGGUAGUCCACCCCGUAAACGUUGGGAACUAGUUGUGGGGUCCUUUCCACGGAUUCCGUGACGCAGCUAACGCAUUAAGUUCCCCGCCUGGGGAGUACGGCCGCAAGGCUAAAACUCAAAGGAAUUGACGGGGACCCGCACAAGCGGCGGAGCAUGCGGAUUAAUUCGAUGCAACGCGAAGAACCUUACCAAGGCUUGACAUACACGAGAACGGGCCAGAAAUGGUCAACUCUUUGGACACUCGUGAACAGGUGGUGCAUGGUUGUCGUCAGCUCGUGUCGUGAGAUGUUGGGUUAAGUCCCGCAACGAGCGCAACCCUCGUUCUAUGUUGCCAGCACGUUAUGGUGGGAACUCAUGGGAUA